AGUGAACGCUGGCGGUAGGCCUAACACAUGCCAGUCGAACGGAAGCACAGUAAGAGCUUGCUCUUACGGGUGGCGAGUGGCGGACGGGUGAGGAAUACAUCGGAAUCUACUUUUUCGUGGGGGAUAACGUAGGGAAACUUACGCUAAUACCGCAUACGACCUACGGGUGAAAGCAGGGGAUCUUCGGACCUUGCGCGAUUGAAUGAGCCGAUGUCGGAUUAGCUAGUUGGCGGGGUAAAGGCCCACCAAGGCAACGAUCCGUAGCUGGUCUGAGAGGAUGAUCAGCCACACUGGAACUGAGACACGGUCCAGACUCCUACGGGAGGCAGCAGUGGGGAAUAUUGGACAAUGGGCGCAAGCCUGAUCCAGCCAUACCGCGUGGGUGAAGAAGGCCUUCGGGUUGUAAAGCCCUUUUGUUGGGAAAGAAAAGCAGCAGGUUAAUACCCCGCUGUUCUGACGGUACCCAAAGAAUAAGCACCGGCUAACUUCGUG
rnacentral:rRNA from 1 species